UGCCAGCCGCCGCGGUAAUACGGAGGGGGUUAGCGUUGUUCGGAAUUACUGGGCGUAAAGCGCACGUAGGCGGACUGGAAAGUUGGGGGUGAAAUCCCAGGGCUCAACCCUGGAACUGCCUCCAAAACUAUCAGUCUAGAGUUCGAGAGAGGUGAGUGGAAUUCCGAGUGUAGAGGUGAAAUUCGUAGAUAUUCGGAGGAACACCAGUGGCGAAGGCGGCUCACUGGCUCGAUACUGACGCUGAGGUGCGAAAGUGUGGGGAGCAAACAGGAUUAGAUA
rnacentral:rRNA from 1 species